ACGGAGGAUCCAAGCGUUAUCCGGAAUUACUGGGCGUAAAGAGUUGCGUAGGUGGUUUGUUAAGCAGGGUAUGAAAGCGUGUGGCUCAACCAUACAGCUAUAUCCUGAACUAACAGGACUAGAGAGCGAGAGAGGUAGAUGGAAUUUCCAGUGUAGGAGUGAAAUCCGUAGAUAUUGGGAGGAACACCGAUGGCGUAGGCAGUCUACUGGCUCGUCUCUGACACUAAGGCACGAAAGCGUGGGGAGCAAACGGGA
rnacentral:rRNA from 1 species